GAUGGAAAAGAAAUGGCCUUCCUCAGCGAUCCCCACAAUUUUGUACUAGGUCAUGAAAUAUCUGGGAUUGUUCACUCACUGGGAGAUAAAUCGAGUGCUGAUGACCCUGACAUCAAAGUGGGUGACAGAGUUGUGAUCUACUCUUUUAUGGGUUGCCGGAAGUGUGACGUAUGUAGUGGCGGUUCCAAUCAACUCUGUCCAG